GUUAUGGAAUUAAAUAGUGGGAGUCCUUAAGUGGUAAUUAUUCCAUUAUUGUUGAUAGUGGAAUUCCAUGGCUUGGUAUAAUGGAAAUUAUUAAUGUAUAUUAAGGUUAAAUAUGGUAUUUGGUAAUUAUAAAAAAAAAAGAGAGACCUAAAUAGAGGUCUAAAAUCCAAUUCAAUUUUUGAAGGAAUGAACAACUUUACCUCCGGGGACCCCUUGUUGAUUUUCGAUCUCCUCAGAUCUGCUCUGGAAUCCACACCAUAUGCCUCCGUUUCUUUCCAUUUUAGUUUUCCACUUUGUCUCUUUCUAUUCUUUUUGUUGUCAUUUACUGUUUGUUUAUUGAGAAAUUCUUUCCUUGAAAGCGAUUUACUGGGUUGAUUCCGGAUCUGGAUUUGCAUGUAUAAAAUAUUAUAGAAUAUCUGAAUAGUCAAUAUGGGAGGAGGGUUCAGAGUACUGCAUCUGGUUAGACCAUUUCUUUCAUUUCUGCCUGAAGUUCAGAGUGCUGACAGGAAAAUUCUUUUAGAGAGAAGGUCAUCUGCACUGUCGUCUCCCUCUUCAUCUUUUUGGUGUGCGUCAGCUUCCACUAUAUGGAAUACACUCUCGACAGUGCUGAUCCUUUCUAUUGGAUGCGUGUUAUCCUUGCAUCAAACCGUGGAACUGUUAUGGAACUUGGUAUUACCCCCAUUGUGACAUCUGGAUUGGUGAUGCAACUCCUGGCUGGUUCAAAAAUCAUCGAGGUGGACAACAGUGUUCGUGAGGAGCGAGCACUCCUAUUGGCAAAAGUAGAAUUCGGAUUUGGAUCGGGGGGAAAAUCAAAAUGGUCGACUAGUCGUCUCGUUCCGAUUAUCGUCUUCCGAGAUAAGUCCUUAAGUAAUUAUAUUUGAUUUGCUGUGCGCUUAAGAUUAUAUAAUAUGAUAAGUAAUUAUUUGAUGUUUAUAAGUUCGAUUUGCAAUAAGUAUAUUGAAUUUCGGCUAUAAAGCCGAAUAUGAAAUGGAUGAUUUAUGUAUAUAAUGUGGCCGAAUGACUAUUAAGUGAUGAUGUGAAAGUGUGUAAUAUGUGUAUACAAUUUUAUUGUACUUGUUUGUAUAUAGUCGAAUGGUUAUUAAAAGUGAAACUAGUAUAAUGAAAA